rnacentral:rRNA from 1 species
CAUGCAAGUCGAACGGUAGAGGGGGCAACCCCUUGAGAGUGGCGAACGGGUGAGUAAUGUAUCGGAACGUGCCCAGUCGUGGGGGAUAACGUAGUGAAAAUUACGCUAAUACCGCAUACGAUCUAUGGAUGAAAGCGGGGGAUCGCAAGACCUCGCGCGAUUGGAGCGGCCGAUAUCAGAUUAGGUAGUUGGUGGGGUAAAGGCUCACCAAGCCAACGAUCUGUAGCUGGUCUGAGAGGACGACCAGCCACACUGGAACUGAGACACGGUCCAGACUCCUACGGGAGGCAGCAGUGGGGAAUUUUGGACAAUGGACGCAAGUCUGAUCCAGCCAUUCCGCGUGCAGGACGAAGGCCUUCGGGUUGUAAACUGCUUUUGUACGGAACGAAAAAGCUCUUAUUAAUACUAGGAGUCCAUGACGGUACCGUAAGAAUAAGCACCGGCUAACUACGUGCCAGCAGCCGCGGUAAUACGUAGGGUGCAAGCGUUAAUCGGAAUUACUGGGCGUAAAGCGUGCGCAGGCGGUUAUAUAAGACAGAUGUGAAAUCCCCGAGCUUAACUUGGGAACUGCAUUUGUGACUGUAUAGCUAGAGUACGGCAGAGGGGGAUGGAAUUCCGCGUGUAGCAGUGAAAUGCGUAGAUAUGCGGAGGAACACCGAUGGCGAAGGCAAUCCCCUGGGCCUGUACUGACGCUCAUGCACGAAAGCGUGGGGAGCAAACAGGAUUAGAUACCCUGGUAGUCCACGCCCUAAACGAUGUCAACUGGUUGUUGGGUC